rnacentral:rRNA from 1 species
UACGUAGGUGGCAAGCGUUAUCCGGAUUUACUGGGUGUAAAGGGCGUGUAGGCGGGACUGCAAGUCAGAUGUGAAAACCACGGGCUCAACCUGUGGCCUGCAUUUGAAACUGUAGUUCUUGAGUACUGGAGAGGCAGACGGAAUUCCUAGUGUAGCGGUGAAAUGCGUAGAUAUUAGGAGGAACACCAGAGGCGAAGGCGGUCUGCUGGACAGCAACUGACGCUGAGGCGCGAAAGCGUGGGGAGCAAACAGG